AAACCAGACAGUGGUGAGGGAUCAGUUAUCAGCGGCUGAGGGAAAACGAUUGGCACUAUUGUAGGUACGGCAGAUUUGGUUCCGAUGAUCCCGCUUCGGCGGUGACGCC